GAUGAACGCUGGCGGCGUGCCUAAUACAUGCAAGUCGAGCGAACGGACGGGAAGCUUGCUUCUCUGAUGUUAGCGGCGGACGGGUGAGUAACACGUGGAUAACCUACCUAUAAGACUGGGAUAACUUCGGGAAACCUGAGCUAAUACCGGAUAAUAUUUUGAACCGCAUGGUUCAAAAGUAAAAGACGGUCUUGCUGUCACUUAUAGAUGGAUCCGCGCUGCAUUAGCUAGUUGGUAAGGUAACGGCUUACCAAGGCAACGAUGCAUAGCCGACCUGAGAGGGUGAUCGGCCACACUGGAACUGAGACACGGUCCAGACUCCUACGGGAGGCAGCAGUAGGGAAUCUUCCGCAAUGGGCGAAAGCCUGACGGAGCAACGCCGCGUGAGUGAUGAAGGUCUUCGGAUCGUAAAACUCUGUUAUUAGGGAAGAACAUAUGUGUAAGUAACUGUGCACAUCUUGACGGUACCUAAUCAGAAAGCCACGGCUAACUACGUG
rnacentral:rRNA from 1 species